UGUAUCAGAAAUAAUUUCUAUUUCUUUUAAAACUGUCUAAGUCCAGAGCACAGAGCAGUAACUGUUCAUCUUCCUGGCUCUAUUCUGAGACUCUGUCAUGUGGAACAUGUCAAGGAAACUGGAGAUGGCAUCACAGAAGAAAUUUCCCUGCUUCUGCAGGAAACAGGAGAAGCCAAGGGCUCAGGGCUUAUUUCAAAUUCUAUUCUUUUCAUUAGUUUUUCUUGAGCCUACUUGAAACAUGCCAAAGAAAAUCAUCAGCAAGUGGCCUAUAAAGUCCUUACCAUCUUCCAGCAUGUGUACCUUCUCAGAAACAUGAAACAGAAUUACAUUGCUGCUGAUGAAAAUGUAGCAGUGAACAAGGUGCCAAUAAGCAACCUCAAGGGAAUAUUCAAGAAUCCUUGGUGUGUUUAGAGUUUUAUUGCAGGAAAGCUGUAUGAUGUUUUUCCUACACAAUUAAAGAAACAAAUGAAACUCAAGAUCAGCUUGUGUGGCACCAUGCAGAUUGCAGUACUGCCAUUUAUUAG